CCCAGAGGUAUUGAUAGGUGAAAUCAGCUUUCGGGUUGAUCACAAGAAUUACACCAACCUGCGCAUCAUGUGCAGGUUUUUUUU
rnacentral:sRNA from 2 species